UUUGGUGGUUAUAGCGCGAGUGAAACACUCGAUUCCAUCCCGAACUCGACCGUUAAGCACCGUUGCGCCGAUGGUACUGCAUCUUAAGAUGUGGGAGAGUAGGUAACCGCCAAUU
rnacentral:rRNA from 3 species